ensembl:lncRNA
CAGACUCUAAAAGCUGUCCUUAGGACCCAGAAUUUCUCCUGACCUUCAAAUUUGUCCCUUGCUUACUUUUGCAUUGCAGAAGAUUUAUGUAUCUUACUAUUUUAUAGCAGUAUACCUGAAACUUCAAAAGAUCAUUCCUUUCAUUUCUUGACCUUUUUAGUCUUGAUAUGUAGCCAUUUUCAUAAACAGCUGAACAGAGAUUGUCAUUCCCCUUUAAAAACAAAAAACAACAAAAACAAACCGGUGCUUGUGGAAAACACGCAGCGCAAAGCCAAUUACCCUAUUACAUUAAAAAAUAAAUCAGUAUGUCUGGGAGCAUUUAAUUUGCUACAUUGUCUUAAUUCCCUAAGGAGACUACAUCAAAAUGUCAGUUGUAAUUUGGUCUCUGAUCAUCAUUUAAAUAUUAUUUAAAUAUUUACUGGUCCUCUGAGGUAUCUCCCUCUACCCUUGUCUCCCACAAAUUACAUAGGUGAUCCUAAAAUGGAAAAAGAGGUCGUUAACAGAUUACAGCAUAGUUUCCACUGAUAAUAGUGUGUUGGUUUUGUUCAGUUGUUUUGAAAUUACUAGUUGUCGAGUGGGCUAGUACACUAAUACCAGUUUUGAACAGGGACACCGCUAACUCUCCCAUCAGAGAACCUUUCCUUUCCAGUUGCCUUGAAGUAGUGGGAAUGGUGAUUGUAACUGUUCAGUUUAACUGUUUGGUGUUUUGACUCUUUUACCAUGUCAUUUUAUAACAGCAUUUCUUAAUGGCACUUUUUGUUGGCGAUGUGGAAUUUUGCAGUUACUUUUUUUUUCCUUUUGCCAUGGGUAGAAAAAAAGAAAGAAAAACCAAACUCAUUGGAGAAAUAGUGAGUGUAAAAAAGAAGAGAUUUAUUUUAUACAGACAGCAAAGCAUCCUGUGUAAUGUUGCUGACAUGAAGCAUUUGAGGGGAGUGGAAAUCUGUUUUCCAUAAAUCACACAGGCUUUUGUACAUACUUAUAUACACUCACGUAGAGAAAUGAACUGCAUAUAUCAUACUGGAUAUGGGGCCCAUUUUACUCUAGAGGCACAUCUGGUGCUUAUUGUCAUAAAUCUUUUAAAGAAUUAGGUACACUUUUUUUCUAUUAAUAUGUAUAGUUUUGUGAUUUGUCACAGUUAUGUUUCAUAUAAUCAUAAGUUAUUUUGUCUUGUUUCAUGAAGUUCUUUUUUAUGUCAAAGUAAAAUGAAGGGAUUGUGCACUUGGUACAGAAUAAAACUGGAACUACAGGAUAUGCCCUCCUGCCUGAAAUCCUCCUUCAGCAUGUCGCUUUAAGACACAAUGGAAACAACCAUUGUUUGUUUGUUUGUUUGAUUAUUUUGUUUUGUUUUGCCAUCAGCCUCCUAUGUAUUGGGGAUGGUAAUUAUAAUUAAAAGCAGAUGGGGGGAGGGGGUCCAAGGCCAGCUUUAAAAUGCCUCAUUGCUUUGGGCCAGAGCUGCAGCCUGGAUUUAAUUAUAGAUAUGAGGACGAAAUGGCAGUAAAAAUGAAUGUCUCCC